UACGUAGGGUGCAAGCGUUAAUCGGAAUUACUGGGCGUAAAGCGUGCGCAGGCGGUUCUAUAAGACAGAUGUGAAAUCCCCGGGCUCAACCUGGGAACUGCAUUUGUGACUGUAGAGCUGGAGUACGGUAGAGGGGAUGGAAUUCCGCGUGUAGCAGUGAAAUGCGUAGAUAUGCGGAGGAACACCGAUGGCGAAGGCAAUCCCCUGGACCUGUACUGACGCUCAUGCACGAAAGCGUGGGGAGCAAACAGG
rnacentral:rRNA from 1 species